UGGGGGAUUUUGCACAAUGGGCGCAAGCCUGAUGCAGCGACGCCGCGUGAGGGAUGAAGGCCUUCGGGUUGUAAACCUCUUUCGCUGGGUUGAAAGGCCAUGCUUUGGGUGUGGUUGAUUUGAACUGGUAAAUAAGUACCGGCUAACUACGUGCCAGCAGCCGCGGUAAUACGUAGGGUACUAGCGUUGUCCGGAUUUAUUGGGCGUAAAGGGCUCGUAGGUGGUUUGUCGCGUCUGUCGUGGAAUCCUGUGGCUUAACCAUGGGAUUGCGGUGGGUACGGGCGGGCUUGAGGGCGGUAGGGGAGACUGGGAUUCCUGGUGUAGCGGUGGAAUGCGCAGAUAUCAGGAGGAACAGCGGUGGCGAAGGCGGGUCUCUGGGCCGUUACUGACACUGAGGGGCGAAAGCGUGGGGAACGAACAGG
rnacentral:rRNA from 1 species